GGCGGCGUGCUUAACACAUGCAAGUCGAACGACCCUUUUUAUUUGAUUUCCUUCGGGACUGAUUAUUUUGUGACUGAGUGGCGGACGGGUGAGUAACGCGUGGGUAACCUGCCUUGUACAGGGGGAUAACAGUUGGAAACGGCUGCUAAUACCGCAUAAGCGCACAGCAUCGCAUGAUGCAGUGUGAAAAACUCCGGUGGUAUAAGAUGGACCCGCGUUGGAUUAGCUAGUUGGUGAGGUAACGGCCCACUAAGGCGACGAUCCAUAGCCGACCUGAGAGGGUGACCGGCCACAUUGGGACUGAGACACGGCCCAAACUCCUACGGGAGGCAGCAGUGGGGAAUAUUGCACAAUGGGCGAAAGCCUGAUGCAG
rnacentral:rRNA from 1 species